GACAGAGGGUGCAAACGUUGUUCGGAAUUACUGGGCGUAAAGCGCGCGUAGGCGGUUUUGCAAGCCAGAGGUGAAAUGCCUGAGCUCAACUUAGGAAUUGCCUUUGGGACUGCGAGGCUUUGAGGACUGGAGAGGUGAGUGGAAUUCCCAGUGUAGAGGUGAAAUUCGUAGAUAUUGGGAAGAACACCGGUGGCGAAGGCGGCUCACUGGCCAGUUUCUGACGCUGCAGCGCGAAAGCGUGGGGAUCAAACAGG
rnacentral:rRNA from 1 species